CAGCCUGAGGACCUGGGUUCGAUUCCCGGCACC
rnacentral:sRNA from 1 species